rnacentral:rRNA from 1 species
GACAGAGGAGGCAAGCGUUGUCCGGACUUACUGGGCGUAAAGCGUCCGCAGGUGGUCGGGCAAGUGCCGUGUGAAAGCGCUCGGCUUAACUGAGCGAGGCCAUGGCAGACUGCUCGACUCGAGACCGGGAGAGGUCGGUGGAAUUGCCGGUGUAGUGGUGAAAUGCGUAGAGAUCGGCAGGAACACCCAAGGGGAAGCCAGCUGACUGGCCCGGUACUGACACUCAGGGACGACAGCGUGGGG